UUGACCUCGAAUCAGGUAGGAAUACCCG
rnacentral:rRNA from 2 species